UGCUCACUCUUUGGCUGUUGUGCAGAUCUCUAGGUCGCGCAGCAACUGCCCUAAAGGAGAAAGUUUUCCUCGCAGCUUAAUUAGCUGCCAACCCUAUAUCCAGCCGGAUCGGGAUUAUCACUCUACACAUCCAGUGGCCCUGGAGAAGCUGCCCCUGCCUGGCCAGCAUCAUCCGGUUGCUACAGCCAAGGUGAAUCUGCCUGUGCGGCGAAUCCACCUUCAGUGUUUCCCCUGCCCCACCGGUCUCUACACCGUCCCCAACAGGCAGAACAAUUUCAAGAUGUUCUGUCCCUCCCGAAUCAUGAAAAUUCCUCCUCUAGGGACAAAUCCUUCUUUUCCCACUUCCUGUCCAGCCUGGGUGGUUCAAGCUGAAGAUGUUCUCACAUUGGACUACCGGUCUCUUCCUUACCCAAAGGAAAUUGAGGCAAAAGUCAAAGAACUUAAAAACAGGAGAAGCGAAGAGAAGGGGAAGGGGAAAAAAGAGGAGGGAGAGGAAGACGAGGAGGAGGAAGAGAAGGAAGAGGAGGAGGAGGAGGAGGAAGAGAAAGAAGUGGAACAGCAGCAGGAGGAACAGAUGGAGGAUGAAGAACUGGAGGAGGAGGGAGAGGAAGAAGAGGAGGAGGGAGAGAAAGAAGAGGAGCAGGGAGAUGAAGAGGAGGAAGAGGAGGAAGAGGAAGAGGAGGGAGAAGAUGAAGAGGAGGGAGAGGAAGAAGUGGGAGAAGAUGAAGAGGAGGAGGGAGAGGAGGAGGAAGAGGAAGAGGAGGAAGAGGAGGGAGAAGAUGAAGAAGAGGAGGAGGGAGAGGAAGAAGAGGGAGAAGAUAAAGAGGAGGAGAGAGAGGAGGAGGAAGAGGAAGAGGAGGAAGAGGAAGAGGAGGAAGAGGAGGAGGGAGAGGAAGAGGCAGAAGAUGAAGAUGAGGAGGAGGAGGAGGAGGAGGGAGAGGAAGAAGAAGAGGAGGGAGAAGAUGAAGAGGAGGGAGAGGAGGAGGAAGAGGAGGAAGAUAAUCGCUGGCUCCUGGAGGAGACAGAAAUUCAAGAUGUUAAGAAAAAGUGUUCAUCCACUAGCCUUGUGCAAGCAGCCAAAUGUGUGAGCUUAGCGGCCAAAUCUACCAUGGUAUCUGAAAAUCUACCCUGUGGACCUCAAGAAGGAUAUCAGCAUCCCCAUGACGUAAAAACUGUGGAGAUGACUGCCCUUUUAUCUCCCAGGGAGUUCUCCUGUGGCCUUAGCACCGACAGCUCGUGUAGCCCUGCUGGAGUGGUCCUCACUCAUGGGUGGUCUGGUGAGAAUGUAUUGGGGUGCCUGACACCAGCCUCAGCCAGCUACUCCUCACAUCGGGAGACCUUUCCCAAGAAAGAACAGAGGACAAAAGGUCUUCCAGGCCCUGCACAUUCUCAGCCUCAGGCUAUUGCAUCAGGGAGCCCUGUUACUCCUGUGCCAGCAUUAAAGAGACCCUGCAAGAGAAAGGCAGCCACACUGGAGUUGCUGGUGCCACCCUCAGAGGUCCUACAACUACUGCAGGAUGAAGGUGACUGGGCCCCACCUCCCAAGAUUCCACACCUUGAGGAAGAGAAAGAAUCAGACACCAUAAAGAACAAGAAGGGUCAGGCCAUCCUGAUCUCAGAUGAUAAAGUGAAUGUCUUAGAACCUAAAAGCCAGGUGGUGUCAGUCCACACUGUCCCUCAUUCUGAUCUGCCAAGGUCCCCACCUUCUUCAGGACCUGGAGUCGCUCUGUCCUUACUCACUGAUGGGGUUUCCAGCCUUGGUGG
rnacentral:lncRNA from 1 species